rnacentral:rRNA from 1 species
UGGCGGCGUGCCUAAUACAUGCAAGUCGAGCGGUAAUAUUUCUAGCUUGCUAGAAGAUGACGAGCGGCGGACGGGUGAGUAACGCGUAGAAAUCUACCUAGUAGUGGGGGAUAGCCCAGAGAAAUUUGGAUUAAUACCGCAUACGCCCUACGGGGGAAAGCGGGGGAUCUUCGGACCUCGUGCUAUUAGAUGAGUCUGCGUCGGAUUAGCUUGUUGGUGAGGUAAUGGCUCACCAAGGCGACGAUCCGUAGCUGGUCUGAGAGGAUGACCAGCCACACUGGAACUGAGACACGGUCCAGACUCCUACGGGAGGCAGCAGUGGGGAAUAUUGCACAAUGGGCGCAAGCCUGAUGCAGCCAUGCCGCGUGUGUGAAGAAGGCCUUAGGGUUGUAAAGCACUUUCAGCAGUGAGGAAAGGGGUGUCGUUAAUAGCGCCAUCCUGUGACGUUAACUGCAGAAGAAGGACCGGCUAACUCCGUG